rnacentral:rRNA from 1 species
CAGUAGCCGCGGGAAUACGAAGGUCCCGAGCGUUGUUCGGAAUCACUGGGCGUAAAGGGAGCGUAGGCGGCGUGGUAAGUCAGAUGUGAAAUCCCGGGGCUCAACCCCGGAACUGCAUCCGAUACUGCCGUGCUAGAGAAUUGGAGAGGUAGCUGGAAUUCUUGGUGUAGCAGUGAAAUGCGUGGAGAUCAAGAGGAACACUCGUGGCGAAAGCGAGCUACUGGACAAUAUCUGACGCUGAGGCUCGAAGGCCAGGGUAGCAAACAGGAUUAGAUACACGUGUAGUCCCUGUCUCUUAUAC